GCGGGGCAGUGCUGCGGAGCUGCUGGCCCGUCCUGAGGGGGCACGAUUCCCGCGGCUUCCUCUCCCUCCCUUUUUGAGGCUUCCAUGUUUUGUAUUUGUGAAGUUCGCCUGGAAAUAUACUUCCCGUUCAGCUCGCUUCCGUUAGUCUCAUCCCUUAGGUAACCACCGCCAAGUCUCUCCCUCAAAAUUGACGCCACCGAAAGCCACAGCGCUGUGUUCAUUUCACCGCUUAUAAACGCUCCAAAGCGCUGCUCUGGGUUUAAAGGCCUUUGGAGAAUUCAACAUGCUGGAGAUCUCGCCAAGAGCCCCUGCGAAUGUAGUAAAGCACAUUUCUAGCCUUUGCUGCUGUGGACUGAGCGUCCCUCACAGGAUAUCUACUGAAUCUACCUCAAAAUUUAGAUUCCUUAGCUUGGCUUUAAAUCUUUUACUCAAAUCUGAGAGAAAAUGCAGCCCGGUGAAGAUUUUUGAGGUGCAUACAGGAAACAGAACAGAUUGCUCCAGAAUUCAAAGAGAAAAUUAAGGCCUCUGCUGGAUCUGGGGCAGCCCGUCCUUACUCUUGGUCUCCCGUCCUGCGCUGUUCCGUUGCUGUGCAACAACAAUGUAACAAAACUGGGUGGAGCGCUGGGUUUAGGGAAACAGUCGAGUCAUUUCUGAGUCACCUGGAAGGAAUCUACAAAAUAAAGACAGGACUCCUGAUUUCUUGAUACAUACUUGAUAUUCACCUCACCAAGCCACAGAUUUAACCUGAAUCUUGAGAGCUAAAUAGUGGAUCAAACGCCAUGAUUCCUGGACACAUUUAAUUUGGGUAAAAUUCUGACAAAAUCAUGAUUUCUUUCAUAAUCAGAAAUGUAUAUAUACUUCAUGUUCUCAAGACCUUCUGCUAUACUUGAAUAAAAAGAAUUAUGGGAAUUCAAGAUUUAAUGAUUAAUAAAGA